AGCAGUUUUAUUGAGGCUCGGACGGCGCCGAUCGCGCGCGGCCCCCGGGGACGCGCCCCGCUCAGGGACGCAGCCACUCGGACAGAUUGGAGACCUCCCGCAGCCACAGCGCCUCCUGCGGGAGCAGAGGGGCCCGGGUGUACAUCACUCCUACUUUACUGAUACAGAGGAGGCCACAGUACGGUGCAGCAGGCUAAGCCCCCACCCGCAGUGUCUGCGUCCCACACUGGAGUGCCAGUUUGAGCUGCUCCACCUCCACUCCAGAUCUCUGCGAAUGCUCCUGGGAAAGCAGUGGAAGAUGGCCAAGUGCUCUGGGCCCUGCCGCUCACGGAGACUGGAUCUAAUUCCUGGCUUCUAGCUUUAGCCUGACCCAGCCCCAACCCCAGCUAUUGCAGCCAUUUCGUGAGUGAACCAGAGAUCUGUCUCUCCCCACUGCCCCCCACUACGCCCCAUCACUCUGCCUUUCAAAUAGAUAAAUAACAGUUAAAAAAAAAAAAGAAACUGAGGCUUUAAAAUGUUAAAUAACGUCCACAUGAAUGCCAACAACUAGUUAGUGGCAGAAGCAGAAUUCAAGCCAUGCCUAACUGGGCUCCUAGCCUCUGUAUGACACUAUGUCUGAGCUCCUAGCCUCUGUAUAACACUAUGUCUGGGCUCCUAGCCUCUGUAUAACACUAUGUCUGGGCUCCUAGCCUCUGUAUAACACUAUGUCGGCCCCUAGCCUCUGUAUAACACUAUGUCUGAGCUCCUAGCCUCUGUAUAACACUAUAUCUGGGCUCCUAGCCUCUGUAUAACACUAUGUCGGCUCCUAGCCUCUGUAUGACACUAUAUCUGGGCUCCUAGCCUCUGUAUAACACUAUGUCUGGGCUCCUAGCCUCUGUAUAACACUAUGUCUGGGCUCCUAGCCUCUGUAUGACACUAUAUCUGGGCUCCUAGCCUCUGUAUAACACUAUGUCGGCUCCUAGCCUCUGUAUAACACUAUGUCGGCUCCUAGCCUCUGUAUAACACUAUGUCUCACACAGUUUUUCUGAAUCACAGACUUCCUGCUGAAAGACUAGCCUCCGACUGUGGGGUCUGAAGCACCGUAUCUCCGCUGAUUCAGAACUCUCGCAGAGCAACAUGGAAGGCUUCUCCCGGAGUGCUGAUUCUUACUUCACAUUUACCUGCUUCCUGUCACAUGGGCCCUGGUGAAGAAAUCGGUGCUGCGUGAUCUCAUGGAAUACUUUGUGCAGUUUGGUCCCAAACUCCUGUGUGUCAGCCGCCUAGAAUGAGACAGAGAGAACACACUGAGGCCCAGUCCUGGACACCAAGAGGGACUAUUCACAGGAAGUUUAUACGGCGGAAGCAUAAGGCAGGUAGGGAGGUAGAACACUAACAUCCCUCUCAGUGUUGGAAGUUUCCUUAGUCUCCCUAGAGGCAGGAGAGACGAGACAGAAAGAAGGCCUGGGACACUUGCCACGAGACAGGGAGUGUGGAUCGUGUAUGCCUUCCCAUUUCUGUCACCCAAGCAAGAACCUUCAAACCAGGGCCUUUUCCCCUAACUCUGCAGGAGGAGAUAAGUGUCCCAGAGAGCUGUCUGUUCCUGAGGGGUUAUAUAAAUGGUUCUGUAAAAUAAACUCCCAGAUUCUACUGGACAGCAGAGGCUGACUGAAGAGCUUUUCCUCAACUAAGACCUUUACAGAUGACAGGAACAAAAGAAUACCGUUUCACCCACAGUGAAUGGGUAAGCGCAUUCUAUUUUUUAAUACACAGUGUUAGAGUUAAGGGGGACCAGAGUAAUCACCUAUGCAAUACACUAAUGUUAUAGAUCAGAGAUUAAAACACAUGAAGGAGAAGUGACCCAGUCAAGAUCUCACGGCUAAUUAGUACGAAAGUUAGGGCCUUAAUGCAUAUCUUGGAAUUCCUAAUCAGGUAUUCUCCUCAUACUCUGAGUUACCCACAUAACCCAGAAAGUUGAAGCAAUGAUAAAAUACACUAACUUAUAAAGGUAUUUUACUCCUUAAAAAAUUUAAAGAUUUAUUUCUUUAUUUGAAAGGAAGGUAGAGUUACACAGAGAGACAGAGAGAUCUUCCAUCUGCUGGUUCACUCCCCCAAAUGGCCACAACAGUCGGGGCUUGGCCAGGCUGAAGCCAGGAGCUUCAUCUAGGUCUCCCAUUGACCCAAGCACUUGGGCCAUCUUCUGUUGUUUUCCCAGGCAUAUUAGUAGAGGGAACUGGAUUGGAAGUGGAGCAGCCAGGACUUGAACCAGUGCUGAAAUGGGAUGCUGGCGACACAGGUGGUGGCUUAACUCAUUAUGCCGCAAUACUGGCCCUGGUAUUUAACUCUUUGAUCCAGUUAAUUCCAUUUAUAGAAACUUAUUCUGAGAAAUAAUUCAAGAGACAACAUCAUACAAGGGUAUCAACUGAAGCAUUAUAUCAGGAGGAAUGUAACCAACUUAAAUGUCUAACAUUAGAUGAAUGGUUUAGAUUAAAAUGACACAGUAGAAUACUGAUUAACCAAAACAAAAUCCUAAGACUGUUGAAAUGGAAAAUGUCAACUUAUAUAUUAAAAUGGAAUGUUCUCAUGGCAACUGUAUAACAUGAGAUAAUAUGAAAAAUUAUAAAUUAUAGUGACAAAAUUAGUUAUUAUUUAAAAUUUUGUGUUAUGUUAUCUUUUUAAGGAAAGACAUGCAUAAAAAUGAAGCACCGGGGCCAGUGUUGUGGCACAUUUGGUUAAGCUGCCGGCAUCCCAUGUGAGUGCAGGUUGGAGUCCUGGCUGCUCUACUUCCAGUCCUGGCUUUGGUGUGGCCAUUUGGGGAGUGAGCCAGUGGAUGGAGGCUGUUCUGUGUAAAUAUACAGCACACACUUAGCCCUCACCUUCAUAAUAACCCUGUGAAGAAGCAUUUUUUUUUUUUUUACAACUUGUAGAUGAGCUCAGAGAAGUUAAAUACAGGCUAAAUCUACAUAGCUAGUAAAUAAAUGAGUCAUGAUUUGAACCCAAGCCUCUGAUUCCCAAAAUCUCUGCCCCAUGCAUCCUGUCACAUACAUGUAAUACUUAUAGUUGCUCAGUUAUUCCCAACGUGCCGUCACAUGAAACAGCAGAGCACUCCUAAACAAGGCACGGGGACUCGCUGAUCUCAUCCCAGCUUGGCUCUUAGCUAGCUGUGUGGCCUAAAGGAGUCAGACAUCUUAAAGAACUUGUAUUCUCAUUGAUAAAAGAGUAUACACACUACUAUACAAUCAACAAAUAUUUCUGAUAACACUUAGGCCUGAUAACAAGAUAGGUAACUGGGGGCCAGUGCUGUGGCAUAGAGGGUAAAGCCACUGCCUUCAGUGCUGGCAUCUCAUAUGGGCGCCAGUUCAAGUCCCGGCUGCUCCACCUCUGAUCCAGCUCUAUGCUAUGGCCUGGGAAAGCAGUGGAGGAUGGCUCAAGUGCUUGGGCCCCUGCGCCUGCGUGGGAGACCUGAGGGAAGCUCCUGGCUCCUGAUCAGUGCAUCUCCAGCUGUUUCGGCCAUCUGGGGAGUGAACCAGCAGAUUAAAGACCUCUCUCUCUUUCUCUGCCUCUCUGUAACUCUCCCUUUCAAAUAAAUAAAUACAUCUUUUUUUCUUUUCUUUUUUUUUUUUUUUUUUUUUUUAAGACAGGUAACUGAAUGCCAUUAAAGCCCUGGUACCUUUAAGCCGCCCCAGUCCCCUGCUAACCUGAAGGGCCUGGAGACAGGUCUUUCGGAAGCUGCCAUCGGUACUCCCAGUCACAAUGGAGAAAGGAGCCUGUGGAUUUCUCAUUACCUUGACGGCCUGAUGAUGCUGCCCCAGGACUUGGUCCACGGUGAACUGGAUGGAAUCUCGCACCGCACUGUGGCUCUCCCUGAGGACGGUACUGAGGAAGGAAUUUAAUGAACUGAACACUAUUAUUUUUCAAUGUCAAAAACCGGUGAAGUAUAUAUGAAAUUAUCACUUCGUGUCAAGAGAACCUUCCUGUUGAAGUUGUUGGCAACAACAUACAUCCUGCCCACUUCCAAGUGACUGACACACUACAUGCGCCCCAGGAUGGGCCAAGGGGACUGGCAAAUCCUCCUCGUGUCUCAGUAUAAAGUCUUUUCUCCCUCAGAAGUUUAUAGGAGAGAUGAAGACGGCAUAUCCCAACGUGCGGCUGUAAGGCUGGGGACCUUGUUUGGAAAGCAUUCCCAGAGGACCCUGCGCCCCCAGCUCAGCACUUGAGGAAAGAGGGUACAGUACUUGAGCUGCUCUCCUUCACAGUGCUCGUCCAAGCUCAGCUGCACUGUCGCCUCCAUGGCCUGCACCUUAGCGUUGCUGUCCUGUGUAAGCCCUUGAUCUUGGCCUGGUGCUGCUCACAGGGCCUCCUGGUGGGUGUGGGUGCUGUAGUCCAGGUUAUGGUGCCCAUUCACAUGAGCGUCCAGGAGCUUCACGUCCAGUACUGCUGCCUCCAUUGCUCUUCUCUCUGCAAAACACUGGCAGAACUCCUCAGCGACUGCCACAUCACUCAGGUCCCACUUUACCUCCCCUCUGACUUGUUCUCAAACUCCUCCUCAGACAAGGCUUGUUCUUCUCCCUGGAUGCCUGGCUCCUGCUGCUCUCAGAAGGCCCAGAGCUUCUGAAAUGUGAAUAACUUCAGUGGGAGUCCUUUGAGGCUCUGGAUGAGGGAAUGUCCAACCUCAUUAUCCCCAGAGCGACAGGAAGACCUGCAGGAGGGGAGUACCACUGAAACUGAAAUAGGACGUCACAGCCUCCCUGUAGGCGUCUGGUGGCUUCACACACAAGCCAGCCAUUGCUUGAUGAUAAUGUUGCCAGUAUCUUGCAUAUCAGAUGAGGAGACCAAGACUUGGCAGUUUUUCAUGUUGACACCUUCACUGCCAUCUCCCACUGUGAAAGUCCAAAUGGGCACCAAAUCUCGCGGAUGCAUACUUUACAAAUCCCAGGCGGUGGGAAAGUGGAGUCCUUGUUUUCAGUGGUAUGAAUUUCUUUUUAAUCCAAUACUGAGGACAACUACUAAGAUACCUAAUGGAAGCUUUCAGAAUCAAGCUAAGCAGAAGUAUAUAAGGGGCUGGCACUGUGGCAUAGCAGGUAAAGCCACUGCCCGCAGUGCCUGCAUCCCACAUGAGUGCUGGUUCCAAUCCCGGCUGCUCCACUUCUGAUCCCGCUCUCUGCUAUGGCCUGGGAAAGCAGUGGAAGAUGGCCCAAGUGCCUGGGCCUCUGCACCCAUGUAGGAGACCCGGAAGAAGCUCCUGGCUCCGGAUCAGUGCAGCUCUGGCCGUUGCAGCCAUCUGAGGAGUGAACCAGCAGAUGGAUGAUCGAUCUCUCUCUCUCUCUGCCUCUCCUUCUCUCUCUGUGUAACUCUGAUUUUCAAAUAAAUAAAUAAACCGUUUUUAAAGAAAGUAUAUAAAUUAUCAGAGUCCUAUAAGAAUAAUAGGCAACACUGGUUUCUGAGGAAUCUGAGUCUGUAAGAUACAUUCAAUAGGACUGAGAACAUGGUAUCAAGCUUACGGUAUCCAGGAUCAGCCUCUGGCAAACUUAAAAAACAAACUAUAGGAGGUGGCAGAGCUUGUUAAGGAGGUCUUCAGAUCGGAAGGGCCUCUGACAUCAUCAAGUCUAACAAUCCCUUGUUAAAGAUGCAAAGCAAGACUAAGUUGAUUUAUGUGAUCUGCUUCGAAGCACCAUUGAGGAAGCUGAUGUUUGAGCUAAAAUUAAACACAGAUGUCUUUCUCUCUUUUUAAAAUGAUAUAACACAUGCCUGGAAAAAAAGUUCUGCUUUUUUUUUUUUUAAGAUUAUUUGUUUGAAAGGCAGAGUGACAGGGAGAGACAGAGAGACACACAGCAAGAAAGAGAUCUCCCUCCGGCUUGUUCACUCCCUAAAUGGCUUCAAUAGGCAGGUAUGGGCCAGGCCAAAGCCAGGAGUCUGGAAUCCAUCCUGUUCUAGCACAUGGGUGGCAGGGGCCCAAGUACUUGAGCCACACUUUGCUGGCUUCUCAGAUACACCAGUAGGAAUCUGGAUUGGAAGCAGAGCAGUCAAGACUCAACUGGACAUUCAAUGCAGGAUGCUGGUACUGCAAGAGGCAACUUAACCCACCGCACCACAACACCAGCCUCAAACCCGGUCACUGGUUCCUAUCCUGUAGUCCCUUCCACACAUUAAGCUGCUCUUCUUAUCAACCUCUGUCCUUGUGAACACAGGCCAGGUAACAGCCCUGGUUGUCCUCACCUGAGACCUCCUUGCUGAAGCGUUAUUAGUUUGGGUCUCAUAGUUCCCAUUUUUCUGGUCAUAAUCAAUGGAACAGCCGG